ensembl:lncRNA
CCUCGUCCUGGUGGUUGUGACUGUGAGAUGCAUCAGAUCGUCGGGCAACAACUUUGAGAGGCUUGAGGACGUGCCGAUGGUAACUUGAGUACCGGGGAAAAGCUUGCACACACCUUCUCCAUCUAUUCAAUGAGAAGAGCAAAAUGAACGAGCAGUCCCCAUUUGCUCGGUACUCAAAAUGACGGAGGACACUUCAUCCGGCGCUGGAGGAGGAUUCCGCUCUGCUGUACAACAGAAAAACAACAGAAAAAAAACAUGAUCUCUCUCUCUCACGCUCUCGUUACUUAACAAAGCACUUUUUUCAUUGACUGUGGAGUAUUUCUGGCCUAUCUAUGACCUUUGACCUUUGUUUUUGUUGCUUCUAAUUCUGGUUAUUGAAGCGAAGUCAGCCAAGUACAAAAGUGCAUGUAAAAUAUAACUUGUAAGUUAUUGAUUGCCAAUUAUGAUGUAUAAAAAAUGUCUACCAUGGCCUUUGAUGUAGACUGUAGUCUUAUCCUAAGAGAUAACCUCAGCUGUUGAGCCUCAUUUCAGCCGGAGAAGUGAGGAAAAAUAACCUAAUAGAAUUAUUAAGGCCAAGAAACAUUAAGACUGCCAACGAACCAUGGAAAGAGAUAUAGUGUACUUUGGUCUGCUCAGUUGUUAAACUGUAUUAUUGGUCAAUUACAUUAUUUCUGUCUUUAACAAAAAAUGAAACUUGUCGAAAAAAGUCCAAUUUGAUUCCUCUGGCCAUACCGCUUGACAUAGAAUGUUUCCACAUAUCUUCUGUGUUUGGCAAAGCUGCUAUCAUUUAUUGAUUUUAAUUCUGUAAACAUACAGUACAUCUCUCUCUGACCAAGACACAUUCUUCCCUAUACAAUCCAAAAUAAAAUAUGACUACUUUCAUAUUUUGCUAUGGUAAAUAUGCCCCAUAUUUACCCAAAAAAAUCCUGAUCACGAUCAUCACCUUGUCUCUGUGUGCGUAACACACACUUGCUGUCAGACAUGUAGAGCACAUCGUUUUCAAGGAAAUAAAAG